ensembl:lncRNA
GAGAGGGGGAGAGAGAGAGAGAGAUCCUGGUGUCAGGCUCUGAAUUGUAUUUUUUUCUCUUCCCCUUUAUCUUCAUCAGCGCAUCCACAUCUCAAUUCACCCAGUAUUACCCAGAGUCCUCUUCUCGCCUUUCUCCAUGUUAGAACAUAAAGGCGGUCCCCAGAUGGAAAGUUGUUGAGAAAUCACAGAGUUGUGAAUAGAGCUCUGGACCCAGUCAAGUCCCUCAUGUAGACUUGACUCACUUACUCGUGGAUUCGUGCUAGGCCAGUCCAUUGUUCCUGCUAUGAGGCUGUUGCUCAGAGUAAACUCAGUCUCUUGUGACAGAGGCCAGCGCUCACGAGAGAUGUGGUGCUGGGUGACGAGGUUACAGUAGAUGACAUGAUCAGAAACUAUGGAUGGCCAUAACGUGUUACAAGACAAGAUAUAAUGCACAUUCACGAGGAGGUCUAUGGACAAUCAGUCAUGUUUGACAUGCGGACAUGCCUUUAAUGUAGGUUACUGGCAUGUUGCAGAAAGAUUGAUUGUGUGAACUUUCCACACUUUCUUUCUGCCUGACAAGGCAGCCUACGUUGUCCCCUGUGAUUUACAACUCUCACACACACAUGCUUCCUCAGAGGAUGAAUGGAAAUCAGACUCAGAGUGUCCAGGGGACUGUGUUAAAUCAUCCAUUCACUGUCUCAGGGUGUCCAGGGGACCGUGUUAAAUCAUCCAUUCACCGUCUCAGGGUGUCCAGGGGACUGUGUUAAAUCAUCCAUUCACUGUCUCAGGGUGUCCAGGGGACUGUGUUAAAUCUUCCAUUCACUGUCUCAGAGUGUCCAGGGGACCGUGUUAAAUCAUCCAUUCACUGUCUCAGGGUGUCCAGGGGACUGUGUUAAAUCAUCCAUUCACCGUCUCAGGGUGUCCAGGGGACCGUGUUAAAUCAUCCAUUCACUGUCUCAGGGUGUCCAGGGGACUGUGUUAAAUCAUCCAUUCACUGUCUCAGGGUGUCCAGGGGACUGUGUUAAAUCAUCCAUUCACUGUCUCAGGGUGUCCAGGGGACCGUGUUAAAUCAUCCAUUCACCGUCUCAGGGUGUCCAGGGGACUGUGUUAAAUCAUCCAUUCAUUGUCUCAAGAGUGUCCAGGGGACUGUGUUAAAUCAUCCAUUCACUGUCUCAGAGUGUCCAGGGGACCGUGUUAAAUCAUCCAUUCACCGUCUCAGGGUGUCCAGGGGACCGUGUUAAAUCAUCCAUUCACUGUCUCAGGGUGUCCAGGGGACUGUGUUAAAUCAUCCAUUCACUGUCUCAGAGUGUCCAGGGGACCGUGUUAAAUCAUCCAUUCACUGUCUCAGGGUGUGCAGAGGACCAUGUUCAGACACCAAAUGGAAAAACUACUACCUGUACUCCAAUAGGAAUGAUCAAAUGGAGUGAGCGCUGAUCAUGUACGCUGAUCCCCUGUUUUAGCCAAUAGGAAUGGAUUAUUUGUCUGAUUUAUCAGUAGCCCUUCCAAUCAUAUGGGCUGGGAGGAGGCCUGGCCAGAGAGGGACUCCAGUGGAUAAUGGGAUGAGGGCGCAAUGAGAAUGAUUGUCUCCGCUGCGUCAUUAGUAGGGCUGUGACGAUACCCUUUUGCAUUAUUCUGUAGAGAUUAUGUAUCUCUGUAUCUCUCUUUCUCUCUCUCUCUCUUUCUUUCUUUCUCACGCUCUCUCUGACAGUACAUCAGAAGCCUGUUAAGGCCCUGUGAGUCACUGCAGUGGGUAGACUGAUGUUCCUGCUGUGGCAAAGGGCUCUCUGUAGUGGGCAACACAAACACACACACAAACACACACAGUUUGUGUGUCGUACUACAGUCUCUUUUUUUCUCUGUCUCUGCUGGGUCUUUCUCUGUCCUUCUCUGCUCUUCCAUGUUAUAACCAGGUUAUAAGCAGGUUAUAAACAGGGCAGUUACGCAUGGUUUGUGUAAACAUAGUUGAUAGUUGUGGGUUAAUGUUUGAAUGAGUGAACAGACAGACAUAUAGCAGUUACACACCAGAGCAGGUCUGGCCCUUCCCUUGCCCCUGCCUGGCCCCUGCCUGGCCCCUGUGUGUGUGUGUGUGUGUGUGUGUGUGUGUGUGUGUGUGUGUGUGUGUGUGUGUGUGU